CGGAGAUGCCGGAGCGGCUGAACGGACCCGGUCUCGAAAACCGGGUAGGGAACGGCUUUCUGCCGGGGUUCAAAUCCUCUCCGCC
rnacentral:tRNA from 1 species